CCUAAGACGUGCAAGUCGAGCGGCGGCGGAAGGAAGCUUGCUUCCUUGCCGGCGAGCGGCGGACGGGUGAGUAAUGUCUGGGGAUCUGCCCGAUGGAGGGGGAUAACUACUGGAAACGGUAGCUAAUACCGCAUAACGUCGCAAGACCAAAGUGGGGGACCUUCGGGCCUCACACCAUCGGAUGAACCCAGAUGGGAUUAGCUAGUAGGCGGGGUAAAGGCCCACCUAGGCGACGAUCUCUAGCUGGUCUGAGAGGAUGACCAGCCACACUGGAACUGAGACACGGUCCAGACUCCUACGGGAGGCAGCAGUGGGGAAUAUUGCACAAUGGGGGAAACCCUGAUGCAGCCAUGCCGCGUGUAUGAAGAAGGCCUUCGGGUUGUAAAGUACUGUCAGCGGGGAGGAAGGCAGUGAACUUAAUACGUUCGCUGAUUGACGUUACCCGCAGAAGAAGCACCGGCUAACUCCGUGACCAGCAGCCGCGGUUAAUACGGAGGGUGCAACGUUAAUCGGAAUGACUGGGCGUAAAGCGCACGCAGGCGGUUUGUUAAGUCAAAUGUGAAAUCCCCGAGCUUGACUUGGGAACCGCAUUU
rnacentral:rRNA from 1 species